rnacentral:misc_RNA from 1 species
UAGGUAGUGCCAUAUCUCCAAUCUAAAUGCAAAAAGAUCAUUAUCAAAUCUCAUGCAAGCAAAUACAAUAUGCAGACUGACAAUAACAAUUACUUGAUGAAUAAGGUAUAGAACCCUUAAUCCCAUAUAUAUAUGUGCGUGUGUGGGCGUGUGUGUGAAGAGAGAUUAAUAGUGAAGCGAGGCUAUGGCAAUACAAUGAAAGCAGGUAUAUAGCCAGAUAAAGAGAGGCUACCUUACUAACAUGGUAACAGGUUACCCGCCCCACAUCUCCCCAAAUAAAUAAUAGUUUCCUUACCUUCUGAUCAGGAAUAUAA